rnacentral:rRNA from 1 species
UACGUAGGUGGCAAGCGUUAUCCGGAAUUAUUGGGCGUAAAGCGCGCGCAGGUGGUUCUUUAAGUCUGAUGUGAAAGCCCCCGGCUCAACCGGGGAGGGUCAUUGGAAACUGGGGAACCUGAGUAUAGAAGAGGAAAGUGGAAUUCCACGUGUAGCGGUGAAAUGCGUAGAGAUGUGGAGGAACACCAGUGGCGAAGGCGAAUCUCUGGACAGUUACUGACACUGAGGCACGAAGGCCAGGGGAGCAAACGGG